rnacentral:rRNA from 1 species
AACGAACGCUGGCGGCAUGCCUAACACAUGCAAGUCGAACGAGACCUUCGGGUCUAGUGGCGCACGGGUGCGUAACGCGUGGGAACCUGCCCUUAGGUUCGGAAUAACUCCCCGAAAGGGGUGCUAAUACCGGAUAAUGUCUUCGGACCAAAGAUUUAUCGCCUUUGGAUGGGCCCGCGUUGGAUUAGCUAGUUGGUAGGGUAAAAGCCUACCAAGGCGACGAUCCAUAGCUGGUCGGAGAGGAUGAUCAGCCACACUGGGACUGAGACACGGCCCAGACUCCUACGGGAGGCAGCAGUGGGGAAUAUUGGACAAGGGGCGAAAGCCUGAUCCAGCAAUGCCGCGUGAGUGAUGAAGGCCUUAGGGUUGUAAAGCUCUUUUACCCGGGAUGAUAAUGACAGUACCGGGAGAAUAAGCUCCGGCUAACUACGUG